GUUGUUUUUAAAUAAAACAAUUUUUGUGAAAAAACAGAAAACGGUAGAACGUGUUUUCUUUCAUUAAAGCAUAUUAUGACUAGAAGUUUUGGUAUGCAUCUGACCGACUUUGAAUGUGAGUGACUUUUUUUUUUUCUUUUUUUAAUCAGGAGGUGUAAUUCAAAAUGUCUGAAACAUCAUCAAAGAUGCCGUCACACAAAUGGUAUGUGGGGCAUUCUCCCACUAACACUAUAACAUUCCUCCUCCUCGGCUGAUUUCCACCCUGGAACCGCGAUAGCAUUUCUUCAAGGUGGAUCCGCGUUUAUGUCUAUUGACACAACAGGUUCCUGCGUCCAGGUUCCGCUCCUGUGGGCGUAUGGAGAUUUUACGCCAUCGCCACUUCUCCCACUGGCUUCGAAAGCGGUUGUGGGGGAGUUAAACAUCUAAGAAAAUGCAAUAGUCCGAUACUCACAAACUAUUGUCUUGUCUUCAGUUCGGUACUGUUGUGAGUGUUUGGCUCAAGCGUCUGUGUCUGUAGUCGGUUUGUCUAAAACAGUUCAUCUCCACUGUCCACCUGCUAGCAAAGGUACCAAAAAAUUUGUAAUCAACGAAUAGGCUUUAUAUUUAUAAGGUUUUUUUUCUAUUUUUUUUCUCCUUCCUUUUCUCCUAAGAACUGUCGAAUUUUGACUUAGCUGGAUAAAGUACAUUACAUAAGAAAUAAUCUAGCGGGCCUUGCUACCUAAUUAUUUUAGUAUCUUAAUAGUAUUGAAUACUUAGUCUAUCUUUCUGCGUCUACUGCUGCUGCCGCUGUUGUUGCUGCAGUAGGAACUGUUGCUGUCGUUUCUGGACUUUCCUUUCCUAGUCAAUGCGGUUGAGCCUCGUCACGACUGAUGCCGCGAACGUUUUUGCGGCGUCCCAUUUAGUGAUGGUCGAGCACAUAUCCUGGACGAAUCUUGCGUGGGAUGGCGGGUGUUCGAAUGUCUUCGCCAAUAUUACUCGUUCUUCAGUGAAACGUCUGCAGUGAAAGGCCACAUGUUCUGCGCUCUCGACUGUAUUCGAGCAACUCGGGCAAAAAGGGCUGUCGGCGAGCUGGAAACGGUGUAGAUAUUCAAGGAAGUAGCCGUGUCCGGUGAGUAUCUGAGUUAGGUAGUAGUCAAUAUCGCCAUGUUUCCUAUUCAUCCACCCUUCAAGAUUCGGUAUGAGUUUGUAUGUCCACCGGCCUUUGGUUGACUCAUCCCAUCUUCUUUGCCAUUCGACCAUCAAUCGCGUUCUUUCUACCGCCUUUUCUGCUAUCGUCGGUUUCACUCCUUUUACUCCAUAGAGACGAUACAGCUCCAUCGCAUGAAUAUCCACUGGUAUCUUUCUAGCAAUAACACAUAUUGCGUCGUCUGAUACCAUUCUAUAAGCGAAUGACAUACGUAGUGCGCCGCGUCUGUGGUAUGGCUAUGUUUAGCCUCUGGCCAUAUCGGCGCCGCAUAUAAUACGAUAGAGUCCGUCACUUUCGUUAUGAGUCGUCUCCUCUCUCCUUGCGGGCCACCUAUGUUAGGUAGAAUUCUCGCUAGUGCGCCAUUACAGCCGCUGCUUUACAAUUAACUGCUGCCAGAUGAUGCUUGAAGCUUAGCCUCGUGUCGAGCAUGACUCCGAGAUACUUAAUCGCCUCCUGUGAGAAUAUUUCGUGUCCGCCAACCAUGAUUCUCAUAAUCCUUUUUUGCUUCCGCGCGCUUAUAAGCACGCCUCUGUUUUCUGGGCUGCCAGCUCCAAUCCCGCAUUACCGAGCCAUCGCUGUACUCUCGCUGCUGCAUCGUUAAAUUUUGCUUCCAGUUGAUCUAACCGCUUGUCACUGCUACCAGCGCAAUAUCAUCAGCAUCUUAUGGGGAAGUUUCAGUUUUAAGACCCCGUCGACCCCCAGGACCGAUCCCUGAGGGACCCCACCAAUAACUUCGUACUUUUUUGGUCCAUUAUCAGUAUCGUACUGUAGAAUACGGUUGCUGAAAUAGCUUCUGAUGAUGCGCAAGAGAUAACAUGGCACUUUCAAAAGUUUUAGGGCUAGCAGUAUGUUAGACCAUUUUGCCGAAUUGAAAGCAUUUUUUACAUCCAAUGUGAUGACUGCGCAAUAUUUCAUGGAGGAGCUUCCUCCGCUGAUAGCCUCCCGAGCAAUGUCUGUGACUAUUCAGAUAGCAUCUACGGUUGACCUUGCUCGUCGGAAGCCAAACUGUUUAUCAGAGAGUCCGCUGGGGCUUUCUAAGCUCUCCUGCAGGCGAUCACAUAUGAUACGCUCAAAAAUUUUUCCAACUGUGUCCAACAUACAAAGACGUCUGUAUGAGGAUGGUUGGUCAGGUUGCUUGCCUGGUUUAAGUAGCAGCAUCAAUCGUUGCAAUUUCCAUCGCUUCGGGAUGGUUCCUUCGGCUAGAGAAGCACUGUAUAGGCUUGCGAACAUCUGGAGUUUAGCCCGUAUCGCAGUUUUAAGUGCAAUAUUAGGAACCCCAUCUGGGCCAGGCGCCUUACAGUCUUUUACACGUUUUGGUGUGUUUAGCACUUCUUUCGGUGUCACCGGUUGCACGUUUAGAAUUGCAUCUAUGCCGUAUUCCUCGUCGCUUGUUUCCCCCUGUGGAGGAAAGAGCGGCACUAUUAUUUGUUGCAGCAAUUGUGAACAUGUGGGCUGCGGUGCUCUAGGGCCUUUCACCUUUUGCAUGACCAUUUAAUACGCCAGUCGCCAGGGGUCAGUAUCUGCACCAUCUCGCAUUUGUUUGAAGCAACGAUUUUUGCUUUCUCUAAUGGCUUUUUUCAGUUCCUGCUUUCGUGCUCUAUACUCUGCAUGAAAGCCAUUCAAGGUUGGUCAUUGACGCGCUCUUGUUGCUCUUCUUCGCGCCUUGAUGCAGGCUUUUCUCAUAUCAGCUAUUUCAGCAGUCCACCAGUAGGCAGGUUUACGUUUGUCGCCGUAUCUAUAUCUGGGCAUCGAUGCAUCACAAGCGGCUUCUAUCUGGGCGGCCAUAUGUUCCGCCAUUACCGUCCGCACUCAUGGCGGGAAGGUAAGCGUCAUCCCAUGCCGACCUAAAUGUCCCGGCAUUGAAGGCCGUUUUUUCCACUUUUGUCGUGUCUUCCAUCUUUCAUAGUUUCGCCUAUCCUCCUGUAUUUCUAUUAUUAUGGCCAGAUGGUUACUAUGUAUGUGGAUGGGCUUGUCGAUCCUCCACUUCGCUCGAUUUGCCGUUAAGCGGGCUGCAAAUGCCAGGUCAAUUAUAGACCGCCCACUACAGCAAUCGAAAGUGAAAAUUCCCGGAGUAUUAAGUAAUACGAGGUCCAAUGCCACGAAGGUUUCCUCCACCCCACGUUCUCGACCAAGCGUUAAAGUCCCCAGUAACGAGGAUUGGACGCUUCCCUCUUAAUAUAGCUCAGCUCGAGGGCCGUCAUCAUGAGUGCGAAGGUUUCUAAAGGCCAUCUAGGCGGCGCAUAGCAGUUUACACAAUAAACACUAUCUAAUUUCGCCCACGUAUAGCCGGAGUCUGCUAUCGGCUUCUUGCAUUGAGGAAACUUGUCAGUCACCACCCAUAUCGCAUAGUGCGACAUCCAACUGUGCGAGUUGAUGUUUUCGUAGGGCUCGGAAAGAAGAGCAACAUCUACAUUAUUUUCAGCGAGGAGAUCUUGGGCUUCUCGACAAUGAUUGCUUUAAGUUUGCGCACCACCUCUUGAUAUCGGGGGCAUUUGCCGCUUCCAGCUGGGUGGGCUCCGUCGCAGAGCACGCUUUUUCAGCGUUUGUACACGUUGCUGCAAGGUGUCCUUCCAUUCCCCACCGUCUUAAAAGCUUCUUACGGUCUUUUCCUUUGCACGAACUCGAAACGUGGUCAAACGCCCAACAUUUGUAGCACCUUUUAGGGGAGAUUACUUCCGACACGCGACAUCGAAUCCAUCCAACCUUAAUGUGUCCAAGCCCCAGGACCUUUUUGGCGUCAUCCACGGGCAGCAAAAUGUACACAGAUUCUGUGCCUCCGUGUGUGUUACGCCUGCUUUUUAUUGAGCUUUUAUCAACGCUUUUCACAUGCGCUUGCUCUACUAUUGCGCUGAGAAUUUCAUCAUCUGUGCUCAGAUCCGGAAUAAGUCCUCUGCACUGAAUAGUAAUGUUGUGCGUCUUGAGGUUGACCGUGGCCACAUUUUCUAGGGCUUUUUCUAUGGCCGCACGGCAGCUUGGUGCUUCUAAAUCCUUGCUCCUCUUUAGUUCGAUCGCAAGUCCACCUUUUUGUGUAGGCCGCAUGGUUUUUACCUUUUCGCUGAGGUCUUUGAGCUCUACACUAUUUUUUACCAAACGCAGCAUGUCCGCGUAUGUCAUGAUAUCUGCCUUUUUUUUCGAUGAUGAUCGCAUCAGGCCUGGGUCUAAUAUACCUGCCCCCUUUUUUAUCUCUCCUAGGUUUCUUUUUUCCUUGGACUUUCGUCCACUCUUUCUUGGUCCCGGGAGGCAUCAGUGUAUGCGGGUAGCUGUCGUCUUUCCUUUUUUUAGCAGAUGGAGACUUUGUUGCUGUCUGCACUGCGACAGUUUUAGGGAUACCUCUAUCUCUGGCUCUUUUAGCGGGUAUUUUUACACUUUUUUGUAGUGCUGCUUGAGUCAUCCGCACCGGUGUCGAUAUUCGGCUUCGAGCUGUGUGAUUACGGCGGUGUGUGUGCGUUUUAUUAUGCUACACAUAAUUUCCAAUAAUGGUGCAUUGCUUGCUUGGGCUGUUAAUCUGCUUGUACGGCGUUGGCUCGUUUCAGGCGUCGACGCGUUGUCCUCCGUUCAGUGCUCCGCUUAAAUGCUUCUUCAGUUUCGGAAUUCACGUUUCCGUUGUUUUUUGUUUCGUGUUUUUGUUUAAUUUUUUCAUUUUUGUCCAUUCUAUACGGGCCCCAACUCACAACCGCUAUCUCCACGUGUGUAUGUAGUUUCCGUAAGUCCUAUGGCUAUCUAUGAAGCAGGGAGGCCAUACUAGGAUUGACACUAGUCCUUAUGGGCACCAGUAUUCAGAGCCAGACUUCAAGCCUAAUGGGGAGUCAUCUCAACCCAACCUACAUAGUAACUGAAGACUACACGUUUUGAGCGCACUGUGAGUCCUGCCAAGUUUUAAUAGGGCGGAGGAGCAGCAAACCCUUCUGUAAGUCAUUUUAACUAGAUUUCACUCGGCUUACUCAGAUUACAGAGAUUCACUGCUCCAGCCCGAUCGCUUUCUGCUUCCAAACCAGUAUGCCAUAAUCAGGAUCUUACUGGUAUCGAUCCUGAUAACCCGUAGGCAACGCUAACAUGUUGUAAUCAGCCACUCCUACUAUGGAGAACAGACGCUGACCAGGAUAACCGCUCAAUUUGAGUCCGACGCUCCUGGAUUUUUUGGUCAUGGCGCCCUCGCGAAGGGCAUCUAUUUAAGGGCGGUGUUUAGUCGCCUUGUUGCAGAGAUAUCAACGGAGAUACUACUUCCUCCUCCUCUGCCGCUCUUGCCGGGGGUUGCUUAUUUGUCAAGACUUAUUCACAACUAACCUGCUACUACAGGCCUUCCGGCUAUCCGCAACCUGCCGACCCCCCGGCAGCUUGGAGCUCAGCUAUGCCCCCUGGUCGUGAAAGGACAUUUGGCCUGUAGGACACACAUAUAAACAUUUAUAACAUAUGUAUACAUUCGUACAUAAAUGCAUACAUACUUAUAUAUUCGUCUACACAUCCACGGGAUGUGAUUGAUUGUAUGUCCCCAGCGAAGGUAAGCCCUUGCUGUACAUACAGGUAAAGAAAUACAUUGAUGUGAACUUAUUGAUACAAUUUAGCGAUGCUGACAACGUCAACAUAUGGUUUGCCUCAUCUUAUAUCACACACAAUGCAGAGGAACCACCUACAUAACUGCUCACAAGGGCUGUGAUAGAAGACCUCUUCAGACGGGAUAUUCCUUUGAUACUGGGUGCGGAUGCUAAUGCAUCCGUCACUUCUGGAUCAGACCAUAGUGUUUAAAUACCAACUGUGAACCGCAGACGCAUAAACUGAGGAGUGUGCCAUCAUAUACCUAAUUCGCUCAAAGCUGAAAUCCGGCGCAAACGUUGAGCUAACUUCAGCGUGUCAACGGGCAGCGAAAAUAACUUGCCCUGUGAGAGCCAGAAGAGAGAAACCGAAACCUCCAUGGUGGCUCACUUAUGCAGCAAACCUGGGAAGGGAAUGCUGCCCUAAAUAUGAUACAAUACAACAUAUAACAUAAUACGCAAGAAGGUCCAACUCUUGGGGCGAAUAUAAGGAUUGCCAACGUAGAUUUAAGUAUGACAUAAGGGUGGCUAAAAUAUCGUCUUAGGGAGACUUCUGUAAAAAAGAUAGAAUGUACUUCGGAGGUAAGAAGACUCCGAGAAGUAUUAUCAAUGAGUCCUUGCAACCCUAGCUAUGGCAUGGAAGAUUGGGCAAUGAACAGUGAAGAAACACUAGAAUUACAAAUGUAUCAUUACGGAGGCAACAGAACACAUCUUAAAGACUACAAUGGGAAGCCCCCUAUAUAUUUUAUAACGGAGGAUAACAUAAAACUCACCAUUGGCAGUUUCUUGGUAAGUUUUUUAGUACCAGAAUGGUAACAAUUCGUACAAACUACCGCGUACGAGAGCACCACUAUUUUUAAAUCGUCAAACAUUUAAGGAAAUAAAAACCAAUUCUUUUGCGUACAAUACAUAUUGCCAGAUAUACAUAAAUAUAGUCGUAUACGAACACGGUACGUCUGGAAAAGAAAUACAUAUGUGCAUACAAAGGUUCUUACACAUCUGUUUUGUGCCUAUUAUUUUUCAUAAUCAAAGUAAAAUAUAUAAAUAUUUAAGUAAAAUAUUUUUCAAAAUGUAAUUAAAAAUACAUAUCCCUCAUUUUCUUCAAUAGAGUAUAGUCUAACAAAAAAUUUAGAAAAGUAUGCAGAAAUGAUUACAAGCUCUUCUUUUAUGCUGUGUAACGCCUUUUUAGGAAAGCAUAAUAAAUUAAAACUUUGAAGCUGUUCACGACAUUUUGGUUUUUUGAGUUUGCUCUUGCAAAGAUUAUUCCUAUUGGGUUACUUUCAAUCGGCUGAUUCCAAUUGGGGAAUCACGCCAGAGCGGAAUUGACAUUUGCCUUUAUAUUUUACGGUGUAUAUAAUGAUUGUGAUUCCCCAAGAGAUAAAGAAGAGGUUCGUAUAAACUCUGAUGUGCCUAUAAAAUUUGCAGCAUUUUAAAGUGGGGCUCAGUCAAGAUGUUCAACCUGAAGCUUUUUAUUUUCGCAAUCUUUAUAAUGUAUAUAUUUAUACUAUAUGAACAUUGUGCAAACGCAGCUGUAUCUCAUCCUGGAGGCAGAUACCCAAUACCGUUUCCGCCGAAGCCAUCGCCGUAUAACCCAAAUGCUCCACGAUUCCCUUUCUGAAGAAAGAAAUACUCAAAUGUAUUUAAUACACUUUGGAAAUAUUUAACACCUGAAAAUAAAGUGAGCUACAACAUUUGAAGAGAGUUUUUAA